CCUGGCUCAGGACGAACGCGGGCGGCGUGCCUAAUACAUGCAAGUCGAGCGGAAUGAUGAAGAAGCUUGCUUCUUCUGAUUUUAGCGGCGGACGGGUGAGUAACACGUGGGCAACCUACCUUGUAGAUUGGGAUAACUCCGGGAAACCGGGGCUAAUACCGAAUAAUCCAUUUUGCUUCAUGGCAAGAUGUUGAAAGGCGGCUUCGGCUGUCACUACGAGAUGGGCCCGCGGCGUAUUAGCUAGUUGGUAGGGUAAUGGCCUACCAAGGCGACGAUACGUAGCCGACCUGAGAGGGUGAUCGGCCACACUGGGACUGAGACACGGCCCAGACUCCUACGGGAGGCAGCAGUAGGGAAUCUUCCACAAUGGACGAAAGUCUGAUGGAGCAACGCCGCGUGAGUGAAGAAGGUUUUCGGAUCGUAAAACUCUGUUGUAAGGGAAGAACACGUACGAGAGUAACUGCUCGUACCUUGACGGUACCUUAUUAGAAAGCCACGGC
rnacentral:rRNA from 1 species